ACGAACAUUUGAUUGAAUUCUUUGCCAAACCCUGGGAUGAGAGAAAAGGUAGAUUUUACACGAAUUUUUAAACGGCCUAGCAUUGCUACCGUUGUUAAAUCGUUUGGCAAGGAUUUGAACCGCUAUUAAAUGACUUUUUAACCCUUGCCAAAAACUGUAGUCUUUGUAGUGAGUGUCUGGAUGUUGUAAUCAGCUAAUUACGACCAUCUUCAAGCUGCUUUCUAGCGAUAAUCACUUGUUGCUGGUCAGGAGGAAUUCCUCCUAGCUGAAAUCAGCAUUUCACCAGAAAGAUUCGGAGCAUGCUUGUUGACCAAGUUUUGCUCUUCUGACUCGUCCAGUUUAGCAACCAUCUUUGCUGCCCUAUCAAGGAAGCUCAUUUAUAAACAACAGCUUUUUUAAUCAACAUGCCAAAUUCGAUCUAUAAAUAGGAAAUGGAUUAUACAGUAGACCAUAACAAAAUAUUCUGACCAAUAGCACAUAUAAAAAUAAUUAUUAAAAAUAAUUUCUGUUAAAUGGAAAAAGAAAAGAGGGGGAAACCAUAAGAAAAUCGGAGUAACAAUCAACAUGAAGCUUCAAUCCUCCAUUGGAUUCAUUUCGGAGAAAAAGCCAAUUAGAGAACCUGGUUGGGGGAAGCUUAAUAGAGAAGCAGCCACGUGCCUCACCGUCGAUCAAACGAAACCCAGUCUCUCCGCUUCCUUCGUUCCUCUUUUUCUUCUUCGUUGGAUGAACCGGCAUAUGCAGCAGCAGCACUUAGUAGCUCGCGGAGCAACAUGCUGGGUGGCUGGCGAGAAAAAGCACCGUGAAUCGGAGAGAGUGGAUGAAGGGAAAAGGUAAAAUGGAGGGGGGAAAGUGAAGGGGAAUGGUGUGGAUAAGAAAGGCAUGCAAACUCCAAUGGUGGAGAGAGGCAUUAGGGAACUGCGCCUCUGACGCAAAAGCAGAAAAACUGCUGACUGGAGAGAAGGCAACUUCAUUUUGGCCUCAUCGGGGGAAAAUAUUUUCAUUCAAGAAGGAACCAAUUCAUGUAAUUAAGGUGGACCUUUUCCC
rnacentral:lncRNA from 1 species